rfam:Gregarina niphandrodes unplaced genomic scaffold scaffold00102, whole genome shotgun sequence.
GGCCAUGUGGCCCAAUGGAUAGGGCAUCGGUCUUCGGAACCGGGGGUUGCGGGUUCGAGUCCCGUCGUGGCUU